AUUGAACGCUGGCGGCAUGCCUUACACAUGCAAGUCGAACGGUAACAGGUCUUCGGAUGCUGACGAGUGGCGAACGGGUGGGUAAUACAUCGGAACGUGCCUAGUAGUGGGGGAUAACUACUCGAAAGAGUGGCUAAUACCGCAUGAGAUCUACGGAUGAAAGCAGGGGAUCGCAAGACCUUGUGCUACUAAAGCGGCCGAUGGCAGAUUAGGUAGUUGGUGGGAUAAAAGCUUACCAAGCCGACGAUCUGUAGCUGGUCUGAGAGGACGAUCAGCCACACUGGGACUGGGACACGGCCCAGACUCCUACGGGAGGCAGCAGUGGGGAAUUUUGGACAAUGGGCGCAAGCCUGAUCCAGCAAUGCCGCGUGCAGGAUGAAGGCCUUCGGGUUGUAAACUGCUUUUGUACGGAACGAAAAGCCCCGGGUUAAUACCCUGGGGUCAUGACGGUACCGUAAGAAUAAGCACCGGCUAACUACGUGCCAGCCGCCGCGGUAA
rnacentral:rRNA from 1 species